UACAGAGGUCUCAAGCGUUGUUCGGAUUCAUUGGGCGUAAAGGGCGCGUAGGUGGCGGGACAAGCGUGCGGUGAAAGCUCGGGGCUCAACCCCGAGUCGGCCGUGCGAACUGUCUUGCUCGAGCACUGUAGAGGCAGGCGGAAUUCCGGUGUAGCGGUGAAAUGCGUAGAUAUCGGAAGGAACACCAGUGGCGAAAGCGGCUUCCUGGUCCAGCACCGACGUUCAGGCACGAAAGCGUGGGGAGCAAACAGG
rnacentral:rRNA from 1 species